rnacentral:lncRNA from 1 species
UUAUUUUAUUGUUAUUAUUAUUAUUAUUAUUAUUAUUGUUAUUAUUAUUAUUAUUAUUAUUACUAUUACUAUUAUAUUAUUAUUUUUAUUUUCUUCUUUUUUAUUUUAUUUUCAUUUUUUCCAAAAAUACUUAUUUAUUUAUUUUAUUUACUUAUUUAUUUAGGUAAAAAAUGAUUCUUGAAAAAAAAAAAUUGGUGGGGAAAUGGAAAUGGACGAUGGGAAGGAGAGGUCAGGAGAUUACGAGAAAAGAUUCUUAAGGUUUUUAGGAUGAGAAGACAUUUUUGGGGGGACUUUUAGGAGAUUUAGGGAUUUUUUUUUCGGUGGGUAAAUGAACACCAUUGAAAAGAUGCACAUUCUAGAUUUUAGGAUGAGAAAUAUUUAGAUUUUUUUUUAAAGGAGGUCUUGACAACCAUGCAUAACCUUUGAGAUAGAGAACUCCACGCACGCAUUGGGGGAGUAGAACACACCAUUUUAAUAUCUAUUUCUUUGACUUAUAAUUGAUUUUCAUUUAGAAAGAGCUUACACUUUGAUUGGUUAAGUUUAAUUUGCAAAGAACUAUUAGGUAAGUUCUCUAAAAUUAGAAUGUUUACUUAUAUGGUUAAAUUAUUACUUAAAAAUAUUUUUUUUGUAUUUCAUUGUGACAAUUUUACCUAUAUUAAAUAAAAAUCUUUACUUUGAUUUCCUUAUGAUUUUCAUUUUCAAAAAAUUUCAUAGUUAAACUCUUGGGAAACUUGUGUUUCAGGGCCCUUAUUUAUAAAAUAUAUGGUAUUCAGACCUCAAGUUUAUGAAAUAUGGGAAGCAAUCAUUAAUGUGCAAAAUAAUAUGAGAAUUGUGCACACUGUGUUGAAUCAAUUUUAUCUGUCCAAAUUACCCUCUGAUGUCUGUUACAUCAACAACCAAAUAGCCUCCACGUCAUACUUAAAUAAAUAAAAAAAUUGUGAAACUUAUCAAUUGCAUAAAAAACACCUGACUCGACAAAGAACUGAAAUUUUCCUUUCCUUCGUCAUCUCAAAGUUUGAGAACAUUUCUCUCCUUCGUCUUCAUGUCCGCAACCAGUCAAAGCGGAGACCGUGUUAAAAUUUGCAAAAUUUCACACAUUUCAGAGAAGAAACCGUAAAUCGAAAACCUCAAUUUGCAUUUUUCUUUGUUGUGCACGUUCUAAAGAAGAAAAUGAAGCACUUCAUCGUAACAAUGUCCAGUUAAAAAGAGGGCUUGAGGAAGCAACACUAUGAUUCAAAUUUUGGUUCAAGAGAGUGAACUCGAACGAAAACGCCAAGUGUGAAAUAUUGGCUUCGUGAAGAAGAAAUCUCCUCUUCAUCUAAUUGGGUUUCAUUUUGUUCUAACCCCCACCGAAAAUCUUAAGGUAAUUAAUUUUCUUUUAGUGUUGUUUAUUUUUUUAUUAUUUUAUUUUAUUUUUUAAUGAAGAACAUUAGUGAUUGUGGAGUGGUUGUUGGACUCUAAAAUUUGUGUGCAGUGGUUAGACGAUAGCUUCACACGUAGGUUGAUUUUGGACAACAUGAUUACAAGCUUAAUCCCUGUCUUUUUUAGUAUUUAGACAUUAGGGUAUUUAGAAAUGUGAAUUUUUCACCAAGGGUAACUUCCAUGAUGAGUUACAAUGGUUAUUGUUAGAUAGAAUAAAGAAAAUAUGAUACUAUUUUGUAAUAAAUUUUGUUGUGGCAUUAAUGUCGUGAAAUAUGAAUCUGAUAAUGCUUGAGUAACACUAUAAGGUAAUAUUUGUAAAGGUAGAUGAUUACUACCAAAAAGUGCUAUUUUGUAGACCUAAUUAUAAUGGUUUUAAGCACCUUUGAGUAGUAAUCAUAUUCAUUUAAUUCAAUUAAUUCAUUAAGGUCCUUAGUAAUUGGUUUUAACCAUUUUGUGGCAAGUUUACAUGUUUUUAUCAGCUUAUGAAUCAAUUCAAGCAUGCCAAAUGAUGGAGGAGCUACUUGGACAAGUUAUGGCAAAGCUUUUGGAAGCUCAAAUUCAUGAAGAACCAAGCUUUGGAGCUACAUAGCCCUUUUCCAAAGUCGUUCAAAGUAUGCAAAGUGAAGCAAAGAGGAAAAGCAAGCAAAGAGGAAAACAGAGGACAGCAGCUGCAGUCUUCUUUCGCACUUUUGGAGCACUUCCCGAAGUCCAUUUUUUACAUACUAUAUACCAUUUCAAAGCUCUGGAAGUCAAGAAUCCAACGCUUCAAACCGUGCACGAUUUGGAGUUGAAAUGAGGAAGAUAUGGCCUUCGGAAGCCAACUGCUCCAGGUUAUGCGAAAUUCGCAUAACAUUCGCAUAACACCUUCAAAAUUCGCAUAACCCAUGCGUGUUGCGAAUUUUGCUCUGUUUUUGCCGACUCCACUUUAGAUAUUUUCCUUUGUAUUUUGUGAUGUAAUUUCCUUUCUUAUCCUUGUAACUAACCAAUCACAAGCUUUUGCUUUUGUAAAGACUAUAUAAGGGGUGGAAAUCACCUCUUGGAGAAUAUAGAAUAUAGAAUAUAGAAUACAUAUUACGUUUGACACUUAGAGAAAUAUACAGAGCUCUCCCGUUUCUAUUUUCUUAGUAGCCAAACAGCCUCUAAGGGCUUUUCCUCAGAGGAUGAUUGGCUAAAACUUUUAGUUUCUCAAAGUAUGGAUGUUAUGUGAUGGCUUGGAUGCAAUCCCAUGGAAAUUUCUCGCACCCGGAAGGUAAGGUAGAUGUUUUUCAUUAAAGGUUCAUUAAUGCAAAGUUUGGUUUUUAUUUCCUUUGGACAACUUCCAACGGCCAAUACUUGAUAAGCUUUUGGAUUUCUAUCCAUUAGUUAUCUCCUACGAGCUAUUGGAAGGUGAGGUUUUCAAUUCCAAGUUUUGUAUUAAUCCGUUAGAACCAAUUUCAAUGGCCAUUGAAAGGUGAGUUUAUCACUUGGAAUGACUUUGAGUUGCCAAUAUUUGGUAAGCUUUUGGCUUUAGACCAUUAGUUAUCUCUUACGAGUCAUUCAAAGGAAGUCUAAGGUGAAUAACCAUUGAUGAAAUUCACUACCAUCUGUUUUGCCAUUUUAAAGGAUUAAAACUUGAUUUGCUAAAUCCAUACCGGUUCGGGAAGCAAGCAUCACCAUAGUUGCAACCCCAACGCGAGGAGCCUAUCCUGAGAUUUCCAAUUUGCAUAAGAGCCAGAGCAUAGCUAUCCUAUCUUUGAGAAACUUGUUUUUACACCAUUUCAUUUUAGUCUUUAAUGUUAUCUUAGAUUAGUUUAAAUCUUUCUAAAACAUUUACAUCUUCUUUUAAAGCUAACAUCCAUAAGAAAAUCACCCAUUUUCCUAAUUUGAAUAUCACUUGUGUUUGCGAAAACCCUUCCCAGUGAACGAUCCUAGAACCACUAUGCUAUAGUAGCUUGGCUACUUUAGUAAUAGUAUUUAAGGUAUAAAUUUUGUUGAUACGCCUUUAAAGUUAAGCUACCAUGAGUCGAAUCAGUAGAAUAGAGAAUGAGAAUGGGGAAGUAAUGGCAUUUUCCAUUCAUUAAUUUGUUUAGAUUGUUUUUUAAUAUGAGAAAAUGAAUGAGAAUAUGAAUGAUGUAUUCAUUUUGAUGCGAACCUACUCUCAACCCUACUAGAAUUUUGAUUCCUUUCUUCUAUAUAAUAUUAUGAUUCAACUUCAUUUCCAUUCCAAUUCCCGUAUGUCAAACACAUCCUACUGCUCUACGUUAAGUCAUGAGGCUAUCUAUGGUCUUAUACCUUAGAACACCUUGGCUUGUAACCUUUGUGAACCUUUGUAACUUGCUUGGGCAUAAUGUUUUGCAAUUUUAGUGAGUUUGUUCACCUUAGGUGCUUGCUCUAAGCAUUACUUGACUGAACCUUAGGUACUACCUUAGUAACCCUUAGAUACUAUCAUAAUGAACCUUAGGUACUACCUUAAUGUACCUUAUGUACUACCUUAAUGUCUUAUACAUAUUACCAUUGUGAAACCUAUAAGCCUACCUUAGCACACCUUGGGUACUACAUUUGUGAACCAACUGUAGUUACUUUGUCAAUACUACGUAUUACCCAUGUUCAAUCAUAGGAUGUAUCUUUUGCAUUUAAUUCCAUCCUAGUUUUAAGAUGAAUCAAGAAAUGAGUAGAUAAUACACAAUUUCCUUAAUUGAGCAUGCCAUUGUUAUGUUGUAAUGGCAUAGGUGAACAUUUGACCUUAGGCAAAUGGUAGAUUGGCCAUGUGGCUACUUUAAUGUACCUAAGAUAGUACGUAAAAGUACCUACAGUACUACCCUACUGCAGCUUGGGGACUACCUAUGUGAACCUUAGGUAUUACCUUAAUGGAGCUUGGGUAGUUGGUUUGUGAACCUUGGGUACUUACUUUAUCAAUCCUAAAUAGGAGCUUCCUCGAGCAUAUGACCUAUUUUUGGCAUUGAAUUCCAUCCUAAUUUGAUAAUUAUUUGCUAUAUGACGAACUUCUCAACUUAGUACCCAAUUUCCUGAAUAGUAUAUGGCAUUAUUAUGUUCUAAAAUGAUUUAUAGAAUGUUCUCCUUAGGUACUACCCUAAUGCACUUUAGGUACCAUCAUCAUGUACUUUACCUAUGGAACUUAAUGCAUCAUGGUUACUAUCCUACUACUCCUUAGGUCCAUUUGGUUGCUCCCCUUAAUGCAUGUUGGAUAAAUGUUCCACUUUUGUAUUGAAGACACAUUUCAUAAAAACUACAUGCUAGAUCGGAGCAUGGCAUUAUUAUGUUAUAAUUGGUUAGUCAAUUGGUACCUUAUGUAAUCAUAAUAGUGUGAAGGUACUACCUGAAUGUCCAUUGGUACUACCUUAACGUACCCUAGGUACUACCUUAACGUACCUACGGUACUACCUUAACGUACCUACGGUACUACCUUAACGUACCUACGGUGCUACCUUAAUGCCCUUUAGAUACUAUCUUAAUGUCCCUUAGGUAUUACCUCAAUGUACCACAUUGUCUUCACAUUUGGGAACCUUAACGAUGCACUCGAGCAAAACUUGGCUACUAGCUUUGUAAACACUCUGUAGUUACUUUGUGAAUCCUAGGUACUUCCAUGGUCAAUCAUAGGAUGUAUCUUUGUCGUUCAAUUUCAUCCUAGUUUGAUAAAGAACCAAGCCAUUUGGCUGAAAAUGACAGUUUCUUUAACUGAGCAUGGCAUUGUUAUGUUGUAAUAGGUUAGGCAUCCCAUUCACCUUAGUUAAGGUAUUACCAUAAUGUGGCUAAGGUACUACCUUAAUGUGGCUAAGGUACUACCUUAAUGUGGCUAAGGUACUACCUUAAUGUGCCUAAGGUACUACCUUAGUGAACCUUAGGAGUACUACUUUACUGCAACUUAGGCAUUACCAUUGUGAACCUUAGUUAUUACUUUAAUGGAGCUUAGGUAGUGGGUUAUAAAUUUUCAUUUGCAUAACCUAUUUAUUAUAUUUACCCUAUUUUCUCGAAAGCCUUAAUUUUUUGAAGAGAUUAGGUAAAACAAACACAUAAGAAAUAUGCUUUGGUAACAAAAUUUUCAGGUGAGAUUAAAUAAAAUAAUGGAUAUGUUAUAGCUUUUGAUUAAUGUUGAUUCUUGGGCCUGGGCUUAUAUGUGGCAUAUUGUCAAAUGAAAACAUUGAAAAGGUAAAUGCGUUAGACCCAUAUUUUUAAAUAUCCUAUGUGGACUUUAUCGUAAAUAAUAUAUCAAUCAAUAUGACAGUGAUAGGAUAAUUUGUUAAGGUAUUAUGGAGACACUUUUUGACAUAAUUUAUGAAAUGUAGGUGAUGCAAUCGGUGAUGGAGAAAACAAUCAAGCAGGAGUUUGAAGUGAAAGCGAAGGACGUUGUCAAUGACGAUGCAUAUACAGGUGGAACUUACAAGCUGGGUGGAAACGGUUGGGAAGAGAAAGUGUUGAAAGGUAUUUCAGUUGAAGAAGUAUGCAAAAUGCAAUUCGCUUGCAUAGACGAGGCUGAAACAUUUUACGACAUGUUAGCAAAACUAACCGGAUUUAGUAUUCGAAAAGAUGAUUUGAAGCGAGACAAGAAUGGAGAUAUAAUAUCUCGAAAGUGGGUGUGUUCCAAAGAAGGGCAUCGAGCGACAAAGUUUUUUGAGAAUGACAACCGACAGCGUGAGCCACAAUCGUUGACUAGAGUUGGAUGUGAAGCUGCAGUUCGUAUAGGCUUGAAUAGAAAAUAUGGAAAGUGGAUUGUAAAGGAAUUUAUAGGAGAACAUAAUCAUAAUUUGGUCGAUCCUAUUAGCAGACAAUUCCUUCGCUCUCAUCGAACAGUAAGUAAUCCAGAUAAGGCACAAGUUGAUAUUUUGCAUCAAGUAGGUGUUAAAACCACACAAAUUAUAAACUAUAUGGUCAAACAAUCAGGGGGACAUGAGCACGUCGGUUUCACACAAAAAGAUAUAUGCAAUCACAUUGAUGCAAUGCGUAGAAGUGAAAUUAAAGACGGUGAUGCAGAAGCGGCAUUGGCUUAUUUGUAUGGAAAGGCAGAAAUGGAUUCUUCAUUUUUUUAUAAAUUCAACAUUAAUGAAGAAAGUCGACUAGCAAAUUCGUUUUGGGCUGAUUCAACUGCUCGAAUGGAUUAUACGUGUUUUGGAGAUGUCCUAGCAUUUGACACAACCUAUAGGACAAAUGCCUAUAAAAAGCCUCUAGUAGUGUUGGUCGGUGUUAAUCAUCACCACCAAACUGUUGUAUUUGGUUGUGCGUUAUUGAUAGAUGAAAGUGUUGGGACAUAUGAAUGGGUGUUGGAGACAUUUCUUGAUGCAAUGAUGAAUAAGAAACUCAUAUCUGUUGUAACCGAUGGGGAUAAAGCUAUGCGUAAGGCAAUUUAAAAAGUAUUACCCGAUACGUGUCAUCGAUUGUGUUCAUGGCAUUUGCAACGAAAUGCAUUCACGAAUGUGCAUAUUAAGGACUUCUCAAGCAUCUUUGCAAGGUGCAUGUUCAUGCGUGGGAAUGAAGAAGAAUUUGAAAAGGUUUAGCAUGAAAUGGUUGCAAAUUUGGGAGUUAAUGAGAAUCGUUGGGUGACCGAGAUAUAUGGGAAACGUAAAAGAUAGGCAGAGGCGUAUUUAUGUGGAAAUUUCUUUGGAGGGAUGAGAACCACACAAAGGUGUGAGAGUAUGAAUGCAUAUCUAAAUAGAUUCUUAAAAAUUCGCUUGCGACUAUAUGAGUUUGUACAACAAUUUGAUAGAGCCAUACUGAGAAUACGACAAAACGAGGCAAAGACAGAGUUUGAGUCGAACAAUUCUUCACCCGUGCUUUCAACCAAACUAUCCAUACUUGAAAAUCAUGCUGUGACGGUAUACACGAAAGAAUCUUUCCUUAAAUUUCGUGAGGAGAUGAAAAAUGCAAAGUUAUUCUUUGUGGUAGGUCUUGUAAGUGAUCAUUCAAUGCGAGCAUACACAUUAUCUAAGUUUAGACACCCGAACUUAAAUUGGGAAGUACAAUUUUGCCCGGAUAUUGAAACAUUAAAAUGCUCAUGCAUGAUGUUUGAGUCAAUUGGCAUCCCAUGUUGCCACAUGGUGGUCAUUAUGAAGGUGGAGCAUUUGGAAGAGAUUCCUCAGUCAUGUAUUAUGAAGAGGUGGACAAAGUUAGCAAAGGUGUAUACAAGAUCAGUAUCAAUGAAUGAGACGGAUAACGACAUGGAUCGGUUUGUACGAUAUGGUUCAUUGAGUUCGAUGUGCAACAAGCUCUCCUACUUUGCGUCAGAUACGUCAUCUUCAUUUAUAGAGGCGAAAAAUGAAAUAGAAAAUUUGACGGCGAGAAUGGAGGAACUCUAUAACUAUAAUUUGAAAGGGAAGAAAAUAGCAGCAGAUGGAGUGACAGGUACUAACCAAGUUCGUGAUCCAAAUAUUGUGAAGACUAAAGGGAAUCCAGGCAAAGUGGCAAUGAAUGUUCAAAAAGGAAGACGAUGCAGUCGUUGUAAAAGAGUGGGUCACACAAUUCGAAAGUGUCCAGAAGCUACAAUCCCUCAAAAUGCUCAGCAGGGUUAUAUGGUAUGUCAUAUUCAAUAAAAAAUUGCCCCUAAGAUUAAUUUUUGUAGUUGUACUUACAUAAAUAACUAACAUAAUUGUUUUGAUGGCAUUAUGAGUACGUAGUAGGAAACUAAUUUGUCUUCCCAAUGUGACAUUCAAAUGGAAAUGAUGCCUUCAACAAAUUCAUCAGUUGACAUUUUUGCAACCGUACAUGUAUGUACAAUAGGCUUGUUAUAUAAUUUCCAAACAUUGAUAACAUCUAAUUCAAUAAUAAUUGACAACACUUAAUUAUUGAAAAAUGCAGGGAAUGUAAGGGGAGCAUUUGUCGAAUGACCGAUCUGACAAGUACAUAGAUUGUGGUGAACUUAAUAAUGUAAGAUCGGGAAUAAAGAAACACUUUUGACAUGAAUUUGAGCUAUGCAUUAUUUAAUGAUUAGGUUUAAUUAAUUGGAAUGGAAUUGGACAACUGAAAAAAACAAUGGAAUGUGCAUGUGCAGAUAGCAGGAUUUCAGCAACAUGAACAAAAUAUGACAGCACCAUGUCAAGGUGGGGAUCCAAACAAAUAUCCAAAUGAAAAGGAUAUGCAACCUUUUUUUUAUUCCUUAACGGAGUAAGGGAUGGUAGGUAUUAAAUCAGUAUUUAUAUUAGUUGAUGUUAUCACUUCCACUAAUGUGUACUUUUAACUUAACUAUUUAAUGAAAAGUUUGAAUUUUGAUCAAGAGUCAAGUUGAUUGAUAGAAUGCAAUAUCCUCUACAUUUAUAAUUUAAUUGAUAACAAGUGAUAAAAUGAUUGGUAAUUGGAGAAACCGAUUCAUUUAUAUCAUGUCGAAAAAAACGGUUAAUUAUGCGGAUUUAAUUAAAUUCAAUUGUGGUUAAAGUUUGACAAUUAGGUGGUUAUGAGUUAACUAUAGGAAAGUAAUCAAUAUGAUGUAAUUCAUAUGAAAUAGGUAAAUUUAGUGAUUUUACUCAAAAUGGGUAAAUCGUAGUUAGGUAAUUUGUAAUGCCAGUCUCCAUCAAUUUCAAACCUUUUAAUUGAACUUAAUGGUACCUUGUCGAAUGUUUACAUAGUGAAAGUUAUUGGUACAACUCAUACCCUUUUUGUGGACGGUAGUCGUACUCCUAAAUUGCACAAUAGCAUUGCAUGAGGCAACCGGUUGAGAUUUGGCCUCAAUCGGUUACCACUGGAUAAAAAAUCCUCAAUCGGUUGAGAAAAUUCCUCAACUAGUUGCCACUGGUUACAAAAAACGUCAACCGAUUGAGAAAAUUCCUCAACCGGUUGAUACAAUUCCUCGACCGGUUGCCACUGGUUAAAAAUACCCUCAACCGGUUGAGCAAAUUCCUCAACCGGUUGAUACCAUUCUUCAAACGGUUGCCACAAAAAAAACCUCAACCGAUUGAGAACAUUCCUCAGCCGGUUGAACAAAUUUCUCAACCGGUUGCCACUGGUUAAAAAACAAUCAACCGGUUGAAAAAAUUCCUCAACCAAUUUGCUAUAUUUGUCAACCGAUUCCCACUGGUCAAAUCAUUGGUCAACCGAUUGAGACAAUUUCUUCAUUGAUCAACCGCUUUCCACAACUCAAAAAAUUGCUCACUCGCUUUAGAAAAUUCUUCAGUCACUCAAUUGAUCGCCGACACUGGGUGAUUCUGCAUCCAAAAUUGUUUGAGAUGGUUGGGACAAAUCCUCAACGAGUUCACACUGCAUCCAUAGGGUCAUUAUCCAUAUGAGGAAUGUUCUCUACCGGUUGGCAUAAUGCAUAUGCCUAUGAAAAGUGGACUUAGCUAAAUCGUUGGACUGGUUCUUAUCGACUGAACAUCAUUCGUCAACCGGUCUACUAAUGUACUAAGUACAUAUUUUUAGUAUAGAUAAAUGAAUAUUUACAAAUCUGAUUAGGUUAAAGAUCGUACAAAAUCACACAUGUCGAACAUGAAUGAUACCAAUAUAUUACAAUUUCAUUUUGCCUACCAUAUUGAAAGAAGAGUAUUUGGAUAUUCAAAUAAAAUGGGCUUAAUCAUUAAUAAUGUAUGGUCAUCGAAUCUCACAACUUCCCAAUAAACAUGACGAUAUGUGGAGAUGGAAAUGAUAAAUAUUAGAAAAAUAACAAAUAUCAUAAUAAUAAUUUUUUCAUUGCUCGUGUCGACGUCUUUGUACAAACAAUAGCCACAAUGGUUUGUUUUUCUCUAUUUCCCUCGUGUAUAACUAAAUCACAUGUUAUUUCUCGACAUAUUUUAACAGAAUUACAAAAGUCUGAGCUCGUCAUCGAAUCACCAUUUUUGAAUCUUUGCAUAUGUCUAAUGACAUGCACUCCACAGUCCCACCUAAGAAAGAGAAAAGAAAAGCAAAACAACUUAUUGAAUGGUUAUCUAAUUAUACCUCAAAAAAAAGAAUAUUAAUGUGAGUUAUGUAUUCAUACUAACCCAUUAUCUUGGGUCGGAAUCGAAGGAGCCCAAUCAAUGGAGAAUUGGAAGACAUCUUUCCCUAUGUCAUACAGUUUGAAGAACGUUUGACAAAAUUCAACCUAAUUUAUUUUGAAAGUGGUUAAUAAAUAUAAAAAAGAAAAAAAAACCAAAUAAAAAGGAAAAUAAAAAUCAGAAAGCAUACCACUAUUUUGACACUCUUAAACCGGAACUCAUCCCGACUCUUCGAUCGUAAUGAAUCCAAAAUUUGGAUAUCAAAGUGUUUGAAGUCAAUGACGCAUAGAUACCAAUGAUUAGGGCAAUCGUCAUGCAUUGGAAUAAAUAGCUAUAAAGGUAGGAAAACAAUAUAUAUGAGUUGGACCACAAAAAAUCUAGUAUAUUAUAGGUGAAAACGAUAUCUACUCUAAAUUUCAUAUAUGCAAUUAAACAUUACAAAUAAUUACUAACCUUCUCGCAAUCAUCCAAUUCGCUAAUGUACUUACUCACGAUGGAUGUUUUUCUAUCAAAAAAAGGAUGAAGACUCCCGCACAAAAUCAUUUGCUAAUAAGAAAACAUAAUACGAACAUUAGUAUAUUGUACUUAAUAUGUAAGUAAACAAGAGAAAUAUGAGCUUACUGAAAAUGGCGUGGGAAGAUAGCAUCUUAUACUUCGUAUGCCUAUGAAUUGUCUUUCAAAAUAAUUUAGUUUUGAGGCUUCUAGAUUUAUUACCUGUUAUUGAACAAUAACUUCAAUAAAUUUAUUUAACUAAUAUAGCACGCAUUUGAUAUAAAUGAAGUAGGCACUUACAACAUCCAUCAAAUUUUGUCUAGGACGUAAGCACUCAAAAUCUCCACGAACUCCAUGUUCAUGACCAAAGUCAACAAGAAGCUCACUAAAAUAAUAAUAUGUUCAAACAAACUUGACUAAAUUGGAAGCAUAUGAAGGCUAAAAUUGUAACAACACAUCUAUGAAUGUUCUAGACACGACAAACCUUUUUGACAAUGCUUUAUUGAAAACAUAAUCAACGACAAGAGAUUGAAGUACAUUGAAUGAUUGAGUAUCCACCACGUCUUCACGAGUAGACAUGAGGAUUGACUAAAUCGAAAACAAGACAUAAUUAUUAACUAUAUAUGUUAAGUAUAAAAAAUAAGAACAAUGAUAUUAAACUAUUUGUAUUAUACAUCUGAAACUUCACAUUUUACCAUCUUCCUUAAAUUGUGUACAAACAGGGAGACCUUGAAUUUACUUGGUUUCCUCUCCUUUGAUGUACGUGUUUUCAUGACAUGAUUAGGAUAACCACAUAAUGCUCGUAAUGGUUCCUAAUAUGGAAAAUGUCAUUAAUAUACAUCUAUUUACUAUGUAAUGGUUAAGUAGUUGUAAAGAAAAUAAUUUUUUCUUUUAUAUGAUACAUACCUUUCCAUAAUCUCUUCUACUCCUUUUGAUUGGAAGUGGUAAAAUAUUUUGAUUUUCGUUUGGAAUGAUAUGCACUUCAAUUGAUGUAGCACAUGCAUCUUUAUUCUUUUCAUUCAAGUCCUCGGUGGAUAACUUCUCAUUUGACAAAGUGUGAAGAUAAUGUUCAUUCACAUUUAUAUUGUUCGUAUCUUCCAAACUUCUCUCGCAUGAGAGAAUGUCAUUUUUCGUUCCUUCCUCGUGCAUUCUCAAAGGUUUUUCGCUUAACCUAAGGAAGAGACCUUUCACUAUAGUAUAAUUCUCCUCAAAUUUAGCCAAAAUUUGAUCACAACUACUACUACUUGCACCAUAAGCCAUAUCAAUUAAAUGUGUCUUUAAUUGUUGGAAGGUUUUAUCUAUCUCCAUUAAGUUCCCACCAUCAACCUAAUGAUAUAUACGAACGUGAUUAAUAACAUCAUAAUACAAAGAUUCAAUGCUAAUAUAGAUAGUCACGAUGAAUAUUGUAAAACUUACUCGUUUAAUAACAUCUUUGUUUAGAUUAAUUACAAAUUUCUCAUCGUCCUCAUUCUCACUUGCCAUUGUCGUUGCAUUUCCAUCAACACAAUCCCUUAUCUCAUUUUCUAUCACCCAUAUUUUGAGCUACAAUAUAUUCAUCAAAAUAUAAUACAUAUCAGAUUUAAAUCACUAAAAACUUAAAUCAAUAGUAAACGACUUUCAAAACUAUAACUUACAUUUUCAUUUGCAUAUCCACCAAGUUUUUUCCAUCUUCGUUUCCUGUCCAAUACUUCAUCAUCUCCCCAAGCAGUAAUCCGAGGAGAAGGUCGAGUAUAUAGCGGUAAAAAUUUCUCUUCAAACGAUAUAUGCUCGUGGUAGAAUAACUAUAAGUAUAUUUGACAUAGAUAUAUAGUUAGUUCAUAAAUUUUAUUAAAACAAAAUCGUAUUUCACUAUGAUGUAAAUUAAUUAUAAGGACAUUACCAUUAAAAACAAUAAGCAACCACAAACCCCACUUUGUUGUUUCUUCUUAAACUCUUCAAUCCCGUGCACAAGAUAAGACAACACAAAUUCUACCCAAUUCAUCUUCUUUAUUGAAUCGAUGUCUUCCACAAGAUGUAAGAAAGAACGAUUCACAAAAAGCUUCAUUGUUGGGCACAAUAAUGCACCCAACACAAAUAAUACAAAAUGAACUUUAAAAUCGUUUUUACCCUCUUUAUCCUCCCUAAUUUGAUUUUCUAACAUCACUAAUGGCAAUCGCCCUUUUUUAUCACAAUAUUUUUUACAUAAAUCAUUCUUAUGGCUAACAUCUUUGUUCAUACCAAUCUUGAACCCUCUUGCCCUCAAUCUCGUAUUAAAUUCAACAUCAAUGGGGUAUUUGAUACAAGUAUUAUACAACUUUAACAUAUAAGUGUUCGGAUUAAAACUAUUUAUCAACCAAAGACACAACUCAUGAUCAAUUUUCCUACAUCAAAGUUGCAAGAGGCUAUCAAAUCCUAUUUCUUCUAUGGUUGCCUUUUGCUUUGGUUCUAAUUUUUCAAUCUCUAAUCACUCACUCGGGGGAGCAUCGAGUCUGAAGAUAUAACUUAAAAGAUACACAAACAUCAAACAUGUUUACAUUAAUAUAAUUUCCAACAAAUAGGGUUACCUGGGAGUUCACAAAGUGAAGAAUGUUGGUUUUUGUGAGCGUGUUGACUAUGGGUGAAAGAAAAGGUAGAAGAAGAUCAUGAUUUUAUAUAGGGUUUAUAUAUUGAGAUUUUUUGGAUUGUGGGUGACAUAUGGAAACAAUGGGCUUUUUAUAUAUUAUCCCUCAUUAUUAAUUCUAAAAGUGGGCUCAUUAAGUUAUAAUACUUAAAAAAAAUUUAUUUUAUAUGAUGUCACUUCCCGAAAAAUGACACUAUAGAUAUAAAACUAAUAUCAUCUAACUACCUCAAUUGAAGAUUUUUUAUAUGAUGUGUCACCUUUAUUAAUUAUAAUCCCUAUGGUGUCAUUAUUUUAAAAGUGACACCAUUAAUAGUGACACCAUAAAUUAUUUUUGUAGUAGUGAAUUUUCCUCACUCUAUAUAAAUAAUUAUUAAUUAUCCAUGUGUAUUUUGAUUAAAUCUCUACCAUGGAUUGAAAUUUCGAUUUUUAUCAAUGAUAUUUUAUGAAUUAAAAUUAAUUUGAUAAGAUAAAUUAUUAAUAAUUUUAAUUAUUUAAAUAAAUUAAUGUAAUAGAAAAAGUCGUUACCACAUAUUUUUAAUAAAAUUUUAGAAAUUAAAUCUCAAAUAAUUUUUUUUAUAUAAUUAAUUUUUCAUUUAUAAUGUAAUAAAAUUCUAGACUUUUGAACAUUUGAAUGAUCAAAAUUUUAGUGUUAGAAAAGUUAGAAGCGCUUUCUAAAAUCACUAUCAAAACAUACACUUAAUUAUAUUAGACUUUCUUUAUAUUUGAAAGGAAAUGGAAAGAGGAUAAUAUCCAAUAAUGAAGUUUAUUGGUAGAUAAUAUCCAAUAGUGGAAAUCGGAUAUUAGAAUAAAAUAAAUAAAUAAAUUACGAGAUAUAUAUGAUACUCUAACAUUGUAAUUCUAUAGAAGUAAAAAAUAAUAAAUAAUAAAUAAUAAAUAAAUAAAUGAAUAAAAGAUAAUAAUAAUAAUGCAACACUUGAACUUAAAGGCUCUCAGACAAUGAAAUGUAGAUAAUAUCCAAGGAAAAUUCUACAAUACCACUUUUCUACAAUACCACUUCGGUAUCUACCGAAAAAAUAGUUGGGAAACUUGUGUUUUAGGGCCCUUAUUUAAAAAAAAUAUGAUAUUCAAAUCCCAAGUUUUUCAAAUAUGGAAAGCAGUCAUUAAUGGGCAAAAUAAUAUGAGAUUUGUGCACUCUGUGCUGAGUCAAUUUUAUCUUCCAAAAAUGCCCUCAAUGUCUUAUGCAUCAGUAGCCAAAUAGCCUCCAUGUCAUACUUAAAAAAAAAAUUGUGAAAAUUGAUAAUUUCUUAAAAAACCCACCCGACCCGACUUUUGGUGUCCCUUUCUCUCUUUCUCUCAUUUUAGUAAAAAAAAACCUUAAGCCAAACGACAUCUAACUUUGCUCUUAGUAGCCCUAAAUCUGCCUUUUAGUUUGGUAACAACCAAAUCUAAGAUUUUCCCUAAGCCAGAAUCUCAAAAACUUGCCAUUUCAGAAGGUUAUUUCAAAUCUGAAUCAGCCAAAACCUUCACGUCCAACAAACCCAACUGAUACACAUCUUCCCCGAAUCUCAAACUUCUCUGUUUUUCUCUUAACAUCCCGAUUAGUCGAACGUGUUUGUCUCUAAACGUCUGGAGUAGCUGAAACUGAUACCCAUCUUCCCAAUACGUUGAAGUAAACCAAACGGAAGACAUAUCUUGUUUUUGCAUCAUCGAAGUUGGAAUUCCGUUCAGGUUUCUCAAAACGAAACUGGAAUUUUCCCUCUUAUGCGUGUUUUCCGAGUAAUCAAUCACAGGUGAGUUUUCAUUUACGGGUUUGUUUGGAUGGUGCAGAUAUCUUAGGGUUUGAAGUGUUUUAUUUUAGGGUUUCUUAUAUUUACUUCAUUUUCUGUAGAAUGAAAUAUAGGAUAAAUUAUUUUUGGUUAAAGAUAUGUUCGUAUUUAGAGAAAAUAAAUUAUUAUUAUUAUUAUUAUUAUUAUUAUUAUUAUUAUUUAUUUUUAAAUAUUUUUUUUGCUUUCCAGGAAUUCUGUUGUCAUUAGAUUUUUAGGGAAAUUGGUUCAUUUGUAUUACUACUAGUCGAUGAAAAUUUUCUUUCAAUUUUAAUGGUAUAUAUGAGAGUUACUACUAAACCCUAAACAGAUUAUUUGCUUGGUCGUUUGUCAUUGUUAUUGCUUUACUAAAUUUGAAUACCGAUUUCAUUGUGUGUAUGUUGUUAUUAUUUUGUCCUUUGUCUUUGCAUGAUAGAAUUGAAUGUAUGUUGUUAUUGUUAUUGUUUUAUGAAUUUGAUUUGAGACAUGAUAAAAUGAUAGCAGUAAGCAUGUAAAAGAUGAAUGUUGACUACAAAUUUGGGAUGAAAAAUAAGUGACAGCAUUGUGAAGUGUUGGUCAUGCCUUACUUUAUUUGCAGAUUUUAUUUAUUUUUGAAUCGUUUAAUGCGUUGUUGAGGUAAGAAUUGGUACGCAUUUUUUCUGAGUUAUGUUUUGGGGACCACAUUACAUUCCUAAGUCUUUAAAUUUGAGAUGAGUAUAGUUUUGUAUUUGUCUUUUUAUGAGUGGAAAAUUGUAUUGUAUCUAUGCCAUAAAAUUAUUUUCAAAAACACUAACCAAAUAGUAUAUUUGCUUUGUGGGAAGUAAUUGUUGAUGACAUGAACAAACUGAAAAUGGCUUGUUAGGGGCAGUGAUCAUAAUUAUGGCUUUAAUAUAUUCCACAUGUGUUGCUAUAAUGUACAGUGAAAAAAAAAUUUGCCUUAGUGGAGAUACAUGGUUUUGUUUUUUUUUUUUUUGUGGAUGCCAUGGUAUUAAGAUGUUUUAUUUUCUUGGGAAGUGUACAAUCUCAUCAGAAUUGUUAUUUCCUAACAAAAUAAGUUUUCCUAGGCAUUUGCUGUUGCUGUUGGUCCUACCGUUGCUGAUCAUUCUAUUCACUUUCUGUACUUUGCACAGUCUGCGACUAACAUUGAAUACCUUGAACACAUUCCUCACUAAUAUAUAGAUGGCCACUGUUCGGCGGAAAAAAAAAGAACACCUCCCAGCUACAUGCAGCCAGGUUGCCAACAAAAUACAUUUUGUAAACUGAAUUGAAAUUUUUUUAAUUUUUUUAUUUAUUUCCCCCUAUAUUGAUAUGUUUUGAUACUGAUAGAAAUUGCCCACUGACUGUAGGUGAAACUGCCAAAAUCACGGUGUUCUGGCAAAAAAUUCAUUUCAGUCAUUGCGAGGCUUCCCGAUGAUAAACGAGACGCCAUUAUAGAAAUGGGAUUUGGAGGACUUCUACACUUGGCUUGUCCAGAACUACGCUACGAGUUGUGUUCUUGGAUAAUUUCUAAUUAUGACACUGCCUACCAUCAACUGAAUAUGGCUACCGGCGUUGUUGUCUCGGUAACAGCACAAGAUGUUGACAAUAUUAUGGGCAUCCCAUGUAGUGGUGAGAAGAUUGUGGUGCAUACUAGGAGAGGCACCUCUAAUCGCACCUACACCAUAAGUCUAUUGGAGCAAAAUCUAGAGAACUUAGCCAUUGGUGAUGACUUUAGGAAGACUUUCUUGAUUUUUGCAUGUGCCACCCUACUCGCACCUAACUCCAAGCUUGAAGGAAUACAUGACCUAUGGGACACCAUAUGGGAUGGUGACGUUGGUGUCCAAAAGAAUUGGUCAAAAUUUGUCCUACAUUACAUAGAGGAUGGAAUCAGAGAAUACCAGAAAAACCAGCCAACUUACAUAUGCGGCUGCCUUAUUUUUCUCCAGGUACAGUUAAGACUUAAUGAAUCUAUUGUUUUAAUUAUGUCUACUACAUUCUCUCCUUUUAAUGUAGUUUCAUUUAAAUUAUAAUUUAUUUUAAACCGUAUUCAAAGAUGUUGAAUGUGUUUCAACUAUUACAUUUUCCUGUCAUUUCACAGCUCUUCUACAUGACAAAAUUUUAUUUGCCAUCCGUCACGGUUGAUGUCACUAUGCCAUUACUUGCUGCAUGGAGUGAUGACCUAAUCAAAAGACGGUUAUCAGCUGAAAUUGCCACAUUUGGUGGUUAUGGUCAUGUCCAUGUAAGGUCCAACUGUACACUUCUUUCGUUAUAAAAAUUUUCUUAUCCAAGUUAUCUCCAUAUUUAAAAAAAUAUAUUCUAAUUUUUGUUUAACGACCCUUUCUAGACUCAACAACUACCAGAAUCUGCUGCCCACUCCCAUGCACAGGCAGCAGGUGGGCAGUCAUCGGCUUCUGAUGAUGCUACUGAGGUAGUAAAUGUUUUCAUUGAUAGCCAAGUUCACAUAUGCAUAGUUGUACUACAGUAAUGCAAUUUUUUCGCCUCAUUCUAGUCAUUGAUUUUUUGUUUAAAAAUUUUUCCUCCUCAUCUUAGGUAAUUCAAGCACGUAUGGUAGAAAACUCAGAAAAAUUGUUGAGAUUAGCCUCUUCAUUAGCUGAAGAUGUUGCUGAAUUGCGUUCCCGUCAGUUUGGGUCGCAAUACCGAUGUUCAGCUACUCCAGCCCAGCCUUUAGCCCAAGUCCAAGAUGAACCAGCUCCUACGACAGGCGACAUUCAGCUUUCAGCUGAAGAAUUUGUUGAACAACCCAGCCUACCAUCAGCACCGCAUUCUCCAACUGAAAGACAUGAAUCUGCAUUUGACCAUGGACCCUCAUCGCUACACCAAGAAUCUCAUGACCAAUCCUAUCCUUACCCACACUUGGAAAGUGUAGAAGAUGUCCAAAAUGUUGGCACAAUAGCUACUCACAGCCAUUUAGACAUACCAACCUCAAGUCACAAAUAUAAACGGACGGGUAGGCGGAUUGUGAAAAGGCCUGCCAUUUGUAAAUCUCCAUUUGUUGCACAAUGCCUUAAACUGUUCCCAAAAAUAUCACAUAAGGAUAGGUUGGUAGCUGAUUUUGCUUUGGACGAAGAUGCUGAUCCAGGGUAGUUUUUGAAUUUCAUUUGCAACCAUAUUUAAUGUGCAUAAAUAUGCCUCUAUUGCAUGAUUUAACAUAAUCCUUUAUGACAUUUCAGCGAGGUUGUAUGUGAUAUGCACGGACUGUUUAUUACGAGGACCGAGCUCGCUUCUCUUAAUGAAGGUCGAUGGGUGAACAACAUUGUAAGCUACUAAUCCUCCAAUUUCCUGAAUACCCAAUUCACAUUAUUUUUUUCCAAUAAUAGAUGCUUUAAACUUGGCUAAUAAUUGAGUACCGAAUUUUUUUUUUUUUUUCUAGAUUAUUGGUGUUACGUCUCGCAUGUUGAAUGCUAACCAACCACAUCCACGACGCUGUCACUACUUCGAUCCUUCAUUUUUGGUACACACUUUUCGAGACUUAUUUAUUACAUUAAGGAAAAGUAAAUUGUAUUCGUUUAUGUUAUUAUUGACUAAUCCCCAAUUUGAACAGGUUGUUCUUGCUAGUCUUUUACCGAAAGCCAGAAAAGAAGAAAUACUUGACAGAUCACGCAUGUUUCUUCAAGCUGACAUAGUGGGACACGAUGUAGCGUCCUGUGAAAUGGUACAUUAACAUACUCCUUUCAUAGCUACCUAACAGUGUGGCUUAUAUCUAUCAACAUAGACCCUAACAAUUCAAUUGUUGAUAAUGUAGUUGUUCAUUCCCGUAUGCGAGAAUAACCAUUGGCACCUUCAUGUGCUGAACAUUCCGGCUGGCCGUAUCGAGAUCCUUUCUAGUCUGCCACUACGAAGAGGGAACUACAUUAGUGCUUCCACUAGGCGAUUAUCAAUGGCUUUGGAGAGAGCAUUGCAUGCACAUGGAAUUCAUGUGAAUGUGGAGGUUUCAAAAUUGGUCCAUGUACAGCCAGAUCUAGUGCAACAAAAAAAUGGGUAAAUUUUGUUGUGAAUGACAGUUUUGGUUGCAAUAAAGUUGUAGUUAAAAUGCGUUAGACGAUUGAUGUAUGUGUAUGAUAAUCCAAACGUUAUGGUCUUCUAGGUAUGACUGUGGUAUUUUUGCACUCAAGUACAUGGAAUAUUGGAAUGGGGCUACCUUAACACAAGCAGUUGCAGAGGUUAGUGUUGCGUUACAACAUGUUUUAAUCAUAUCUUCCAAUUUUGUAUACACUUGCAAAUAAUUUUUAAUGUUAUUUGUAGGAGAAAAUGCAUGUUUACAGGUUGCAAAUGGUUGUGACAUUGCUCCUUAAUGAAGCCAACAAUGUUAGGGGAAAUAUUAUACAGGCAUGUGGAUUGUGAGAGGUUAUCGGACCAGAAAAUGUCAAAAUAAGGUAUUUCGUAGAAUGACACCUAGUUUUGCAUUUGUAAGUAGUGAAGUUAGUUGUGUUAUCCCUUUAAUUUCCUCUUCUGAUCAUUUUGAUGAAUUUCAGCCAUGUCAAGCUAUUUGUUCAUGACUUUAAGUUACAAAGUUAAUAAAGGUAAGUUUUGUUUUUGGACAAGAAUGGACAAUAAUUUGCAUAUUAACAAAUUGGAGAAAAUGGAAGGUACUGAAUGACAACGGUAUUUUUUUCCAAAAACUGAUGUGUCUUGUGAUUUUUUUGUUAGCUAGUUAAUAUGUCAAAUUAUUACCCUAUUGUUCCUUCAUUGGAGGACCUACCAAUUGCACAACUCUCAACUUAGUUCUUUAAAGUAUGAAGUUCCCUCUGAAAUAGUUGUUCCUAUAUUUGCAUUGAAAAUGAAACACUUAUAAUAUUUAGUAAAUAAGCUAGAGUUUGACACUAUUUUCAGGCCUUUUUGCAUAUAAGAUAGUAUUAUGUGAUAAAUUCCGAAGUUGACCUGUGUAGUUAAAAUUAUGAGUUUUUUUGUUCUUAGUUCAGUUUUGUUGAGCUCACUUUUGAACUUAAAUUUUCAGUUAUUAUGAAUUGAACUUUGAAAAAUGAUAUGAAAAAUAUUAUGUUAUAAUGGAUUACACUUGAGAAGACAAAGAAAUUUGUAUGCCAUAUUGAGUUGCAUUUGGAACGUGCUUUUAUAAGCUUGGCCAUUUAUGUUUGAUUCAUAAAUAAAUGUUUCAAAUACAUUCAAUUUUAGACACAAAUAAAUUAAUUUAACAAGAAUUCGUACUUUGCUUUCAUAUGAGAGAUGUGGAUUUUAAGCCAAUGCUUGUAACUGCUUUUGCUUUGUCGCCUAUAGUUUUGUUCGCUUUUAUUUGGUAUCUACUAAAAAAUUAUUGUAGUUUUGGUUGGUGGUCCAUUGGUUGAUUAUGGGAUGGUUUUCGUGACUUUUUCCAAGUAGAGAACGAAGAAAAUUCGAGAGAUGGGGUAGAAAAUGAUGGAGAUGGAUAAAUGAAUGCAGAAACUGGAGAAACACAACCUCAAAGUGCUGAAAAAAUGAGGCACAAUAGGCAGUGUUUGACGAGAGGACAUGAUAUUAAAUUACACUGAAAUGACGAUGAGAAAAAUGUCAGGACAAAUUCGGUUAAUAUACAAUUGGAAAGUAUUAAUUUUGGCUUCUAACCAUUUGUAUGCCAUAUGUAGUAAACAGAUAUGUUUCAACUUCAUUGUGUUUGUAUUUGAUGAAUGGUAUGUGGGCCGCUGCAUAAGCCAUUUGUUUGAAGAAUUACAGUCCAUGGAUGCUAACAAUGUGGCUAAUCAGAAACUUUUGUUUCAUUAGAUUGACUGAAAUUGAAUUGUUAAUUAACUUGAGUAGGAUAUCGCUGCUUUGUGCCCAGGUACUUUCAUUUAUAUUGGAAUGAGAUGACUAUGUUAUGUAGAACAUAGAAGCAUAAUUUAAUCUAUGAGAUAACAGUGUGUUUGAUGAGAUUUUUUUUUCCUUCUCUUCAGCCUAAUAGAAGUACAUGUAGGUCGUAGGAGAAUAAUCAGGAUAAUUGGAUGCAUGUUUCCAUGGUAGCAAUUGAAAGUGCUAUUGAAAAUUUUCCAGUAGUUUGUAAUCUGAACCCCACGAAAUGUGUAAUGCAAUUAUGAUGGACAUGCAUUUAAUAGUAGGACAUGACAUGUAGUUGUUAAUGGUGAUAAAAAGCUUUAUAUGUAAUGUGUAAUGCAAUUAUGAUGGACAUAACAAUGACAUGCUGUAAUAUGUAAUGCAAUGAACUAAUUCUGGCUUAAAUCAUAGAAGAGCAUAAUUUCUCUAAGGUGCCUUAAGGUAGUACCUUAGGUACAUUAAGGUAGUACCUCAUGUGCAUUAAGGUAGUACCUCAUGUGCAUUAAGGUAGUACCUCAAAUUUUUUAUGAUUACAUAACCUACCGAAUGAGUUAGCAAUAAGAAUAUAAUAAUGGCAUGCUGUAAUAUGUAAUGCAAUGAACUAAUUCUGACUUAAAUCAUAGAAGAGCAUCAUUUCUCUAAGGUGCCUUAAGGUAGUACCUUAGGUACAUUAAGGUAGUACCUCAUGUCAUUAAGGUAGCACCUCAUGUGCAUUAAGGUAGUACCUUAAAUUUUUUAUGAUUACAUAACCUACCGAAUGACUAAGUUAUAAAAAAUUUGUAUGUUCUCAUAGGUUACCUUAUGUAAUCAUAAGAAAUUUCAGGUACUACCUUAAUGCACAUAAGGUACUACCUUAAUGCACAUAAGGUACUACCUUAAUGGUCUUCAGGUACUACCUUACUGUACAUAAGGUACUACCUUAACGCACCUGCGAGAAAUGUAGCCAUUUUGUGGCUUCAUAUUUUUAUUAGUUAAUUUCAUGACCUAUUGUAGCAUGACAUUGUUAUGUUCUCAUAGGUUACUCCAACGGUACCUUAUGUAAUCAUAAGAAAUUUCAGGUAUUACCUUAAUGCACAUAAGGUACUACCUUAAUGGUCUUCAGGUACUACCUUAAGGUACAUAAGGUACUACCUUAACGCACCUACGAGAAAUGUAGCCACUUUGUGGCUUCAGAUUUUUAUUAGUUAAUUUCAUGACCUAUUGCAACAUGACAUUGUUAUGUUACCUUAUGUAAUCAUAAGAAAUUUCAGGUACUACCUUAAUGCACAUAAGGUACUACCUUAAUGGUCUUCAAGUACUGCCUUAAUGUACCUCAUGUACUACUUUAACGCACCCGUGAGAAAUGUAGCCAUUCUGUGGCUUCAGACUUUUAUUAGUUAAUUUCAUUACUUAUUGCAGCAUGACACUACCUUAAACCAUAUUCGAUAAAUUUUACUCUCCCGACAAUUUUUCACUCUCAAUAUUUAUUUAAUCAUACUAUUGUUUUCUCAUUUUUCUGGUUAUGUCAAGUUAUGAUGGUUGUGGUUGGAUACGGAAGGUGAUCAUGCGAAGCAAAUAUUUAUUGGUUUUCUACCACAUUUAUUUUUUCUAUAACAACCUGUACAUGGUUUGAAGCACAAAAUUAGCAAAAUGCACAAUCAUUUAGGAACCCUGAGUAGCCCGUGCCAAUGAGAAUGUGCAAUAGUCCUGAACCCUGGUAGAUCAGGAUUUGAAGGGCGCCAUUGCAAACUAUUGGUAUACCAGCAAACUGUUUCUAAUGUAGUAAAUCAAACCAAACAAACCUCCCAACUUACCAAUAACAUUAACAGAAGAUGAUAUGUAAAAGCUUACACAAUAACUAAAUAUGAAAGGAAAGUCGUCAAACAAUUUACUAAUGUGAUUAUGGAAGGAUAAACUGAAACUGCAUCAGUGUACAAACAAAUAGGUUCCAGUCUAUGUUUGUUGUUCUCUUAUGAAAUUAGUACCAUACCCCAUAAUAAACCUAUCACUGUGGAUCACAUCUUACAAUCACAGUUGUUGUCCAAUCAGUCGCCAAUACAACACUGACCAGCACCCUUAACUAUAAUAAAAGAACAAAUACUGAGUGUUGUCCAUGUUCCUACUCCCUAACUUUACAAUAUUGAAGGAAAAAUGAACAGCCCUAUUACAUUGCUGUGACUGCAUCCCAUAUGCUCCAGCAGCAGCAUUACUAGGUACUCUUCCUUUCCCUUACACGUUGGCCAUUCUUGUACAUAAAGUCCUCAUAUUCAGCAUAACCCAACUGCCACUGUUACAAUGGGAUGUGGAAUACUUCAUCAGAUACAUCACAUAUAGAACAUAAAUAAUGGUUUUACAAUUGGAACAAAUCACAUCAGCACACAACAUGAUAUGAGUUAAUAAAUUUUGGACAAACUAAAAUCAACCCUUGGUCAUUUUGGUACGUAGCAGCAGAUAGGAAGAAACUUAUCAUGAACUAUGAAGUCACAAAUGACAUGCGGCCAUGAUUGUAUCUCUGACACUGUUGCGUUCAUUGAGGACUAUUUGCAGCACUAGCUGGAGUCUGUACAUGUUCGUCUUGUCCUACGGAAAUGGGAAAAAAUUAUUCCAUGCGGUUAGGAAAAUAGCACUCAAAUCAAAGGACAAAUAUGCAGAUAAUUAAAUGAAACAGGUCAGCUGACACUGAUAUUAGCAACCAGCCUCUGAAAAAUGCCACCAAAUGAUGCCACUCAUUCAAAGUAUUUAUUUUCGGAUAAUUAAAUGAUGCCACCAAAUGAUACAUGGGAACACAAACUGCAGUAUGGUUGAAAUGACUUAAGCAAUGUAAUCUUACCAAAUACAUGGGAUUUGAGUAAAUACCAUUAAAACAAGAUGUGGUGCAAACAUAGUUUGGACUUUGUGAAAGAACUGAAUCAGCAGAGAAAUAUAAUGUAACUCAAUGAACAUUGCAGGUGAAUGGAAAGGCACAAAACAUUCAAAUAGUAACGAUGAUUGGGUGACAACCAGUUAGUUGAAAUAGAGUAAUACAAGAUCAGCAUAAUGCAAUAAGUAGACAGAUAUGCAUUUAGGGCAAAGGAUUUUUGCAGGUUUUUCUGUUGUGGCCGGACAUAUGACAACGAGAGCAAUAAACAGGCCGUUUAUCUUGAAAUUGAGACUCAAUGCGCUUCUUCCUUGGCCUUCCGGGAGGGCGCUUUGUAUGUGGAGGCUUUAGAGAGAAGAACACCUCCCCGGUGAUAGAUCGAACCAAACCAUCAUCGUCCACAGUAGGCAUGUCAUGGGUCUCUAUGCCGGAGAAAGAGCCCCCAUAUAUCAACUCUUGCAUUGGGUAUUUGUAGCAAUCAUCGACGAAAUCAGUAACAUUUUGACCAAUGGAAAUAAUGACGGCUGUGGCAUGCUCACAAGGGAUUCCCAACAUCUGCCAACCCCUACAAGUGCAUGUAUGGUUUAAAAUGUCUACAUUCAACAAGGCUCUCCCAAUACAUACCCCAAAUACUCCAUUCUUGAAUGGUGUGACUGGAUACACCGCACCCUUUGCAAUAUUUUCCUGCACCUUAGCUUCAAUUUUUGGCCCUAUACACCCUUUCCAAUUCUUAGACUCUUCUUGAUGCUUCACAAGCAUAGAAGCUAACUUGGACAUGUGCUCCAAUAAAAAGUUACAAAGAGAGUGAUGUCUUUCAAUCCGUAACCAAGCAUUAAAUGACUCAGCAAGGUUCGUAGUCAUUUUAUCCCAUCUUUGUUUUGGGAAUUUUGACAUGGCCCAAUGGUGCGGCGCAUUUUCUUCUACCCAUGUGGCUAAAGCCUCGUUGUAUUUUUUUAGUUCAAACAUGGAAACGUUAUAAUCAUGUUCUAGCCUUCCAUACGCAAUGCUAUCUAGGAAUUGCAAUGCAUUUUCUUUACCCUUGUUCCCUCGUGUGUUAUACUUGGACAAGAAACUACUAAAAUUCUCCUUCAAGUGACGGUAGCAAUAAGCAUGGUUUUCAAUGCCAAACACCUCAGGGACACUACGAAGCAAAGCAUGAUGUCUAUCUGAGAUAAUAAUAACUUCCUUGUUUCCCACAACUAUCUUCAGUUUUUCCAAGAACCAUAACCAAUCUUCAUAAUUUUCCGAGCUCAUCACUCCAAAGGCUAAGGGGAACAUGGAGUCAUUAGCAUUGUAAGAGGUGGCUAAAAAUAGAGCACCGCCAUAAGGCCCACUCAUAUGGGCCGAAUCAAUUGCAAUGAUUGGUCGACACCCCCUUACAAACCCUUCGAUAGAUAUUGAAUGAGCAACAAAAAGCUUCUCAAAAUGGUCAUCAUUGGAAUAACUCAGCUCAACACUCGAUCCCGGAUUUGUUGCAAGCAUUCUUUCACACAUCCAUGGCAACAAUUUGUAAUAAUUCUUGGGUUGUCCAUAAAUGCGCUCCUUAGCCUUCUCCUUCAUUUGCCAUGCUUGUAGGUAAGUUAACUGGAUGCCAUGUUGCCUUACAAAGUCCUUACAAAUUUGGUGUGGUUGGUAUUCAGGAGUAGAUCGAAUGACAUCAUCAAUGACCAACGAUGCACAAGUGGAUCUCACUAAAGGCUGAGACAAGACAACAUCUUCCAAGCAAUGGUUAUGCACAUUUCAGAAUGUGUGUACUUGAACAAUGUUUGAAUCCUCUAUUGCACGCACGGUGAUUUUCCAAGGACAAUCUUCAAUUGUGCAUACUACGGUCAUGUGUUUUAGACUAUUCCUUUUGUAAGAAUAUCGAAAUUUUUCAGCCAAAGACAUCAAAUAGAUUGCAUCUCGAAACUCCGACGUAUUUGGGAAGGUAUGUCCACUACCUACAAUUGAAUGUUCGAACCGGCUUGGUUGAAGUUGAACGGUAUUUUUCAUAGCACAUCUUUGGGAAAACCCAACUGACUGAAUUGUGGGCGACUCAUUAGAGAUGUGUAAUGGGGGCUCGCCAAUAGAGGAAACAUGAGCUGAGUUUGAAGCAACAAUGGGGGUUGGGCCACUGCAAAAAACAUAAGGAAAGAAUUUGAUCAUCCAUCAAUCUAAGUGUGAAAAGCGAUUAUACAAAAGGGAACAUUAUUGUAAAAGGACAUUAGGUACCUAGUAGGGCAAAUGAAGUCAUCACCACAUUCAGUACAUUGGGAGAUGUAGACAUGACAAAACAUGUCGUUGAAUUUGAACAUAUUGACUAUGUCGCCAUCAUUAUGCAGUGGCAAUAGACAUGAUGGGUCAAACUUGACUGUGAAUUCCAAUUUAAUGGAAUUGGAAUCCAAGUUCAGUACACCACAUACUUUUGAAACGAAUUCAGAUUGUGAGAUAUUCUUGCUAACAACACUGCAAUUGGUCCAACCUCCCUUAUAUUCGACGGGCCCAACAACAGUCUUAACAAGCUCACCACCUUCAUGAAUGUAACAAAACAUCUCCUCUUCCAUUUCCUUAUUGACAUAAAGAUUUGUUAAAAACAAUACAACAACGAAAGAUUGAGGAAUUAUGCAUGUUGAUUCCAUAGACUUUAAGGUUCAAACAUGCUAAUUGGCUGAUGCACACAAUUAAGGUUCAAACAUGCUAAUUGGCCGAUGCACACAAGUAGUGUACAAGUCCAACUAUGGUAGUACCUAAGGAUAUCUAACCUAGUACUUAAAGAUUACUAAGGUUAGACCUAAGGUUAAUUAAGAUAGUACCUAUGGUACAGUCUCAAGUAAAGGUACGGGGAACCAAAUGAGCAGAGUAGUCAAACACAUAAUGUCAUGAUAGCUUGUAUGUGGAAGUGAAUACAAUUUAAUUUAUGCAUGACUUGAAAACAACCUGUAGGUCCUAUGUUUGACAAACUGAACCCCAUUGGGUUAACAAUAAAGACAACUUUUAUUCACAUAUGAAUUAUUUGAAUAUUAAAAAAUGAAGUUUCCAGUCGUCACACAACUUGUACCCAAGGUUGGCUCAGGUAGUACCUGAUGUUGACUAAUGCAGUACAUACAGUCGAUUAAGGUCGUACAUUUAGGAAUAAUGAGGUAGUACAUAAGCUUAACUUAUCAGUACAAUAAGGUUAACCAACUGAUCACCAAAACAAACGAUAUAUAGAUAAAAAUGCAUUUCAUCCAUUCUGACCAGCAUUCCCUAUUUUCUAUUUAUGUUAUGAAGGGAAUUAAACCAAUGCAUGGAUACCAAUAGUUCCUAUAUAGCCUUUCCUAUUACCAUCUUCUAAAACGGAUAUCUGAAUCAAUAUCAAUUACUAAUCAACAAGAACAUUAACAUAUAGUAACCAUACAUAUGUUACUAUAUGUUUGAAGAAAUGGGACGUGAUUUGAAACUAUACAUAUAAAACAAAAACAAAAAAACACAACGAAAACUUUAGCACCCAUCAACCAUCAAUAUCACAAAAACCUAAAAAACUGAGUAAUUUGGAACAACUUUCCCAUCUAAAAAUCACCAUUUAUUAAGAACUUUUUUCGUUCUCAAAAUGAAAACUUCAUCCCAAAAAAAUGUUCCCUUUUGGUCAUCCACUGCAUAGCUCAAUCCAAAAACACAUUCCAAUAAAUGGGUUUCACUAAAAAUGCAUUGUUUCCCAAUACCUAAAAACACCACUGGGAAAAAAAAUUCCUUUUUCGCUAAUCAAUUCAAAAUAUGUUUUUCUCAGUUCUAAACCAAAACAAAAACAAAUGUCUUUUCCAACGAAACAAUUCCUAACCCAUAUUCUUGCCUUUACUUUAUAUCAAAACAACAGAGUUGCGAUAAUUUGUCAAUCCAAAUAAAACAGUACAAAAUCAGAUUUGAAAAAGACGAUGAUGAUUCAUUACCAACAGAUUUAAAAUUUCAGUACCAACUCCUAAAUGCCAACAUUUCAGCCACGCCUGGUUCAGAAAAAACCCACACAAACAGCAGAUUUUCAUGAAUGAGAAUGCGAAUGCAAAACACGGAACGAAUGGCUUACCUCGACAGAGAAAAUCUAAGAUGUGACAAAUCGGAUUAAGGCCUUCUCAACUGAAAUCUGCUUCGCCUCGGUGACGAAGUGAAGAAAUAUGAGAGGAAUGGGUAUCAAAUCAGAGAGGGGGAAGAAAGAACCCUCGGCUACCCUAUUUUUAUGGGAUUUUCUGCUUCGCCUUGGUGACCGAGUGAAGAUAGAUGAGACGAAUGGGUGCCAAAAUGAGAGAGAGGGAAGAAAGAACGGUCGAUCGGCUAGGGUUUUCUUGUGGGAACCUCUGCUUCGCCUUGGUGACGGACUGCAGAAAGAUGAGAGGAAUGGGUACCAAAUGAGAGAAAGAGAGGAUGAACGGUCGGUCGCCCAGGGUGUUUUUGUGGGAAGCUCAAUAUUUGAUUUUGCACAAGACAACCGGUUCAGUUUCAACCAGUGCUGAGAUGGGCUGUUGACGUGGAUACCUGGAGGGGCAAUUUCGGUAGAAACAAUACAGCCGGCUCAGAGUGCAUGAAUCUGAUAUAAGUUUCCACAUUAACAGAUGUUUUUCUACUUUCACAAACCUGGGUUCCAAAAACAAUAUUAUAACCAUAUUGGCCCAUGAAAACACAACUUUCCCAAAAUAGUUUUGGCCAUUGGAUGAAGAUGGUUCAAUCCAGAUUGUCCAAUUGGCUUAUUUAUUUUUAAAAAUUUUAAAAAAAAUAAAAAUAAAAUAAAAGAGAGUUGUCGGUCACCUUGAUUUCCCGCUUUUAUCUUGCUUAAUCUUGUCCAAAGACAAAAAUUUGUUUGAUGGGUAUUACACUUGACGCUUAUUUUCGGAGAAGUGAGCUAUUGAUUGAUGGGCAUUACAAUUUUUCUCGGAUUUUAGAGAGUUAAGCUUUAGAAAUUUGAGGGUAUGGAGAUGGAAUUUUCUGGUGAAAUGAGACUUUACAGAGAGAGUGAAGCUGAGUGGGGAUUUUGAAGGAGAAAUCAGAGAGGAGAAAUCAAUAAGAAAAGAAUCAGGUGGGCUUUGGCGGAGUAUCCGAAACCAAUCUCCCCCUGUAGGCAACUCUACCCACUCUCCCAGAAUAGGAACUUCACUCAUCUUAAUGUUAUAUGGUAGUGAUUGAAAUGUUGAAAAAGUUCGACGAUAUUUCUUAAAAAGACAAUAUUUUUAUUGAUUCGAAAAUAUCUAUUUUUUUGGGAAAUUUCCUGAUAUUUCCUACCAGUCUAAGUUGCGCACAAACACGAUAUUUUGAUCGAUUAAAAAAUAUCGUCGAAAUUUUGGUAUUUUUACCAAUUUUUUUUUUGGGAAAUUUCCCGAUAUUUCCUACCAGUCCAGGCCACACACACGAUACAAAAUUUUUCCAUUUUUUUAAAAAAAAACAUAAGAUGCUAUUUGGUAAUCUGAUCAUGAUUUGCAAGCAAAGGUUGUGUUUUUUAACUUGACUAAAAAAUCGUGGAUUUAGGGUUUGUGAAAUUUAAAUCGAAUGGCACAAAAGCAAAGAGACCCCUAAAACAAAUCCAAAAAACAUAGGGAGCAAAAAAUAAAUUUUUUUUUUUUUUUUUUUGUUUUCCUUGGGGGACCCUUACAUGGAUUUUCUCGGAAAUCAAACGAACAUGAAUGUUCCCGAAAAUUGAAUGGAGGAUGGAUUUUGUUGGGAAUCAAACAAGGGUUGAAAAAAAAAUGAUAACAUGAUUAGAUUAGUACUUGCGAGGAUUGAGAGUGGCAGAGUAAAAUGGAGCCUUUUUAGGGAUUCUCUCGUUUGGAGGGCAACUUCAAAAAAAGGCUUCUUGAUGCUCGAGGCCCCAACUGAGAGAAGUGGUAAAAAUAGGGCUUUUUUAGGGAUUCCUCUUUGUAUAUAAAUAAUUAGUAAUUAUCCAUGUGUAUUUUGAUUAAAUCUUUACUAUGGAUUGAACUUUCAAAUUUUAUUACUAAUAUUUUAUGAAUUAAAAUUAAUUUGGUAAGAUAAAUUAUUAAUAAUUUUAAUUAUUUAAAUACAUUAAUAGAAAAAAUUGUUAUCACAUAUUUUUAAUAAAUUUUUAAAAAUUAAAUCUCAAAUAAAAUAUUUUAUAUAAAUUAAUUUAACUUUUCAUUUCAAAUGUAAUAAAAUUCUAGACUUUUGAACGUUUUAGUGUUAGAAAUAAUAAUGCAAUUUGAACCUAACUCUAUCAUUUUUAAAAAGUCCCUUAUUACCACUAAAGUACCUUGAUAUGAUAUAAAAUACCAUUUAUUAGUGUUAUAUUGUUUAUUUGAAAUUAUGAAUGUUAACUUGUGUAUAAAAUAAUAAUAAAAAUUUGAGGGACAAUAACAGAUUUUUUUUAAAAAAUAAUUGUGUGUUUCUAAUUAAAAUUUGAUUUGUUCAAAUUUUUAAUUAAAGUAUGAGUAUAUGUUUGAUUCAUGCCCAAUUGGUGUCUCAACUGAUUCGUGUCCAGCUGGUGCACCUUGAUAGAGGGAGUAAUCAACAAAAUUUAUAACCUAUAACACCAUAUACUAGGGUAGCAAAGAAAAAGCUACUAUAGUAUAGCGGCUCUAGGAUCGUUCACUGGGAAGGAUUAGCAAGCUAUCAAUGAUACCAAUUCCAAGUGAAUUGGUCUUGUUUCAUUUCAAUGUUAGCUUAAGAAAGAAAACACAAACUUUGAUUGGUAAAGAUUUAAACUAACUAACAUAACAAGUACUCGGAAUAACUUAGGAAGAAAAGCAUUCCUUGGAGAGUUAGGUUCACUGGGGUGGUUCCUCAUGCAAAAGACAUAGCUCCGGUCAGAUGGUUUCUUUCCUCGCAUUAGAGAUUCAACAUAUAUUCAAUUCUCUAACCGGUGCUGUACAGAUACCUCCUUCAAUUAGAUUUCACUUUAAUUCUCUCACUGAUGCAACUUGCAAUGAUUUAAGCCUCUCACUAAGCCGUAACCAUUCAAGGUGAUCUUUAACCUUGGAUUACCCGUCAAAAGCUCGCAAGAGAUAACUAAUGGAUGUCUCCUUGGAGUCCAAAAGCUUACCAAGUGUUGGCUAUUCUAGAAAAUCAUACCUUCAAGUCACCUCCCAAAGGCUCGCAAGGGGUAAACUAGUGCAUUUCCAUGGUUGGAAAUCACUUGCCUUACCAAGUGUUGGCCCAGGUGACUCUAAGGUGUUUUAAGUUAACUAAAAACAUAGAAAUCACUAAAGGAUUUCACUUCCUCUUCAUUAAUAGCUAAAACCACAAAGCUUUGCAUUCUUGCACUUGGAACCUUCCCCGACAACCUUAGCUCCAAGGAACUAGAGAUUUAGUUACUCAUUCUCUGGGGAAAACUCCUCAGAGAGUUCAUAACUUAGUAAGAAAAUAAAAAUACAAAGUGAGAAGGUAAGGCAAUACAAAGAACUGAACUUUACUUGCUUACCCAAAACUUUACAAAAGGAUCUCCUCCUCUUGAGAACAGGCUCCCGAGAGGUAUAUAUGAACAUAAUAUAAAAUUAAUUAUUACAUAGAUAUUUUCUCUUUUUUACUAACUUAAAAGCUAAGGAAUCUUGUAAUUGGUGGCUUACAAGGAGUAUUUUGGUAUUUAGACAACAAAAAUCUAAUGUAAAAUAUCUCCCAAUGUCGGUAGCAGAUAUCGGGAUGCUCCAGGAACCAUUUCGCAAGAGAAAAUGGUGUCUGCGAGAUUUCGCAGACACUCAAGAGGGCUGCGAAAUCAUUUCGCAACAACAUGCUAUCUUCGCAGGGCUGCGAAGUUGGCUUCCACCUUGAGGUUCCCAGCUUCCCUCUCGCGGUAUAUGUCGGGCAUCUUCAGGAGGAAAUACACCCUACUGUACAAAAAGGCUGCGGAAUCACUUCGCAACAAAAGGGUGAUUUCGCAACACUUUGCAAAAUGCUUCCUUCAGCUUGGAGUGAUUGGCUUGCAAUGGCUGCAACUUCUUCGUUUCAACUCCGAAUUGCACACCGUUUGAAGCAGUGGAUUGUUGACUUCCUGAGCUUUGAAAUGGUAUAUAGCAUGCAUCAAUUGGACUUCAGAAAGUGCUCCAAAAAUGGCUGCUACGACUGUCAUCAAGAAUAUGCUUCAUGGCAGAUUCUCUUUACUUUUUCUCCUUGCAUUCCGGAUUCACUCUUGGCAAAUGACUUCUAAGCUUUGCCCAAGAUUCCUCAUAAUUCUCCUCAAACUUGAAUUGCUUUGGUGAUCAAAAUACUAACAAAAACACCAAAACUUACACAAAGUAAUUAAAAUUGCUUUCAAGGGUCCUUAACAUGCCAAUUGAGUUAAAAGGCCUAAACUACUACUCAAAAGUGUUUAAAAGGAUUAAUUAUAGGCUAUCAAAUAGCACUUUUUGAGUAGUAAUCAAUGUUACUCAUUAAAAUUAAAUUAAAUUCUUUUGAUCAGGUGCAAAAUGGUACGAUUGAGGAGAACUAAGAAAGUACUAAGGGGUAGAGGACCUUGGCCGCAUUUGGAUACAAUCUUGAACUACAAGAGGGACCCUAGCCAUUCUACAAAUGAACAUGUGGAUCAUGUGGUUAAUAUGUUCAAACGUUUCGAAGAGGAAUAUAUCUUAGAGUCAAACUGUAAAAAACAUAUUCUACAAAUGUCAUUAACAGAACCUGAGAAAAAAGUUCUUGAAAAUAUAUGAGAAUCCAUUGAAGAAGGGCUUCAUGGUUUCACAAAUAGGUCUUUAGAUGACCCAGUAGCUAUUUUCAAGGAACAUUGGGAAAAAUGCUUCGUGAAGAAUGCCAUCAGACGAACAACAGUGUUUUGUAUUUCUCCUAACUUACGAAAUGCAAGAUUUUCAAAUUCUAGUAGGCAUAAAAAUCUUAGAGGGUUAUGGUUAUUGAAAACAACUUCUAGAGUUAUAGAAGACACUGUGUAUAAUCCUAACAUUGUUCCUUUUAGUUCAAAGGAAAAGAUUAGUUUUCCUUCUAUAUAUUACAUUUUCUUUUAUGUUUUAUACAUAACAUGUAAAUAAUUUGAUAUGCGAGACAUGACAUGUCUAUUUAUCUUGUUGAUGUGGCCUCUCUCACAAAAAAAUUCUUUAGCUCGCAUUACUUUGUUAAGUUGUAUGCAAGAUGAUCUCAUGAUUGAGUAUGAGGUAUAUCAAACUUCUCAUGAAAUGUGGGAAGCGUUAAAAGAAAAGUAUGAUGAACUUUCAGCUACGAAGCUAAGAGGACUUGUAAUGAAAUUUGGAAAUUACAAAAUGCGACUGAACCAUUCAAUGAAACAACAUCCUAAGGAGAUGAAAAGAAUGAUAAAAGGGCUUAAAACAUUUGGACAUAUGUUCACUGAUGACCAACAAGUUGAGAAAGUCCAUUACAGGCAUCUCUUUAUAUAUAUAUUGUGGAAAUUUUUUUUAAAGAUAAAAAAAUUUUAAAAUAGCAUAUUCUAAAUUUAAUUUUUUUUUUAUUUUCUAUUUCUAAUCCAACGCAACAUUAUUAUAUUUAAAAAAUUAUAAAUUAUUUGAUAUGAUCUUAAAAAUUGCCUUUUUGUUAUGCCAUGUAAAAAAGAUAAGAUAAAAAAAAAUUUUAAGUAAAUAAAUUAUUUUUAUUUGAUAAUUUAAAUUUAUUUUAAUUAGUUUAACUCAUCGAUCUAAUGAUUAAUAUUUUUAGAAAAAAACUUCAUUUUGUUACAAAUAUUUUCAAACUCAUUGCUGUCAAAUUCAAAACUUAAUUCUUAUCAGAUUUUGUAGGCUACACAUUUGCUUAGUAUAAGAAGAGUUUAUCUUAUUUUGAGCAGUCUUAUUGCAUCUUGACUUAGAAAGCCAAAUAUGUAAGAUUUUAUAUUUGUCACUUAAUGAUUUGAAUAUAGUACAUAGUUUUAAUUAGUUGUAAAUUACAUUCAUAAUGUUGUAUUUUAAAUAAGAGCAAACAAUCAUUUGAGGAGAAUGAUCCCUCUUCAAACCAAAAACGUCCUAUGGGUUCAUGGCUUUAUUAUUUGUAAGAAUAUAUAUACAUAUAUGGUUAAUUCAUUUUGGAUAUUUAUUCAUAUGUUGAAAAUAUAAUCAUUUUUGUGUGAUGUUUUUUGCAGUCGAGAACAAGUACUCGCAAGAAAAUGAGAUAACAAGGAAUUGAUAAUAACUUAUGAUGUAAGAAAAGAAAUGGAUAUUUGCAUAAUAUGUUUUUUAGUCAACUUUUAUACUCUAUAUGAUAACUAACUAAUUUAAUAUUACAUAUGCGAAAAAAGAUUGGAAAAAAGUGGCAAUCCCUUUCAAAUGGAGAAAAAAAAGAGUUCUUAGAGAAGUCUAAAAAAUGCCCUCAUGAAUAUAUAAAACAAAAGGGUCGAAACUCAAAAAAUGCAUCAAAGGUAAGAAAUUCGAAAUUUAUGUUUUUAAAUUAUGAUAAUAUUUUCUUUCAAUUUAAAAUAUACAUGCUUAUGUAUAUUUAUGACUUCCAGUCGUAUCUUUACACGCGUUGUUCACUUGAUUGGGUGUAUAAACUACUUUAACACUUGCAACCUAAUCAAAAGGCGGCCAUACAAGAAAUAGGGUUUGAAGGUAUUUUAGGAUUGCGAUGUACUAAACUUGAUCAUAGUUUAUGUCAUUGGUUGGUAGAGAAUUUUGACACUCUUUCAUGCAUAUUAAGUGUGCAUAACACUUCCAUUAAAUUAUCCCCAAUGGAUGUUGAGUUAAUUUUGGGCGUGAAGGCUAAGGGAGUGGAGGUAGAUAUAGAGAGAUGCACAAGUAAACGGAAUGAUUUAUACAACAUGUAUUGUGAUGGGAAGGGAAAAUUGUCAUUGUUGAUGUUAGAAAACCAAAUACGGUAAGAAAAGGAAUGUGGGGAUGAAUUUAAAAUUCGUUUUGUAUUAUUUGUUUUAGGUGCCUUGUUAUGUCCAACUAUGAAAGUUAGUGUCAAGCCUUCCUUCCUCCAUCUCCUUCAAGACACCGCAUCAAUAAAGAAGAUAAAUUGGGCCCAAAUAGUAUUCUUCUUCCUUGUACGAGGCAUAAACGACUUUAAAUCCAAGAAAUGAAGCAAUGUGAUUUCUGGAUGUUUAUUUUUUCUAAUGCUAAUACACUUUUAACAAAGUUGAUAUAUUAUGAUAUUUUUAAUAAUAAUAGAGUUUGUGAUAUAUUCAACUCAAUAAUUAUUUUAAAAUUUAUUUCUUGCAGAUUUUCUACCUAGACCACAUUUCCACAAAGAAGGGUAUGAACUUAUGUUUUAAUGCAUAUAGCCCUCGUAUAAAUGAAUGGGGAGAUGAUGAGGUUUCUAGGAUGAAACGUCAAAUCAAAAUACUUGGAGGUUAUGAUGAUACAAAGGUAAGAUACAUUUAUUAACUGAAAAACUUAUUUGUUUAUAUGAUGUUACAAUUAUAAUAAAGUUUAUGGAUAAAUUAUAGGUCACGAUAUGGAUUAUAAAAAUUGGGCAAAGUGUAGAUAUGGAGCAAAAUAAUGGUGCAGAAAAUGAAAAUGAUGAAAAAAAUGAAAGUGGUUGAGAAAGAUGAGAGAACAAUUGAUCAUAAAGAUAAUGAUAUGAGAAAUGUAAAAGAUGGUGUUAAACAAGAUGCAAAAGUUCAUGAACAACAAGAAGAAGGGCAUAAGGUACUUUUUUGUACUAUAUUUAUAUACAUUAGUUUAUUCAUCUAAAACUUUUUUUUCUCUCAUGAUAUUGGACAUUUUUAUUUGUUACUAGGUUGAAGAAAAAAGUUUGAUGGGUAUGGAGAAAGCUUUUGAAAAGUUGAAAAAAUUUGUUCUACAAACAAAUGUUUCUGAUAUGGAUGAAAGUUGAAAAGAAUCAACUUUUAGCGAAUUUGAAGAAAAAUAUAUGGAAUUGAAACGUUUGUUUUUUCCUAUGAGCAAUGUUGUGGUAGAAGAGAGAUUGAGUGAGAAUGACUCAUGUGGUGACAUGGAGUUACAUGUUUCUCCCAUUGUCAACAAUCAAUGUCUAGAUGAAAAGGUAUUUGCAUAUUAUGAAGACCUAGUUUUUUACAAAGUUCUAUAUAUAUAUAUAUAUAUAUAUAUAUAUACUAAUGUUCAAAUACAUGAUAGGUUAAUGUUGAUGUUCCAUAUGUUGAAAAACAAGAAGAACGACUAAGUUCAUUGGUGGUGCUCCCGCGUCAAUUGAAGAGAACACGAACAAGAAUGGAAUGCAAACCUAGUAAAUUCAAGGUGUCACCCUACAUUCAUCAAUCCAAUAAGAUGACAAAGUCUAAGAGAUUCUCAAGCAUAGUUGUUGGGUCAUAAAAGGUAUUAGAGGUAAAAUGUUACUUCAUUGAUGUAGUUUUUUUUAAAUACUUGAUGCGACUCAUGGUAGCUUAGCUUUAAAGGCGUAUCAACAAAAUUUAUACCUUGAAUACUUUUACUAAAGUAGCCAAGCUACUAUAGCAUAGUGGUUCUAGGAUCGUUCACUGGGAAGGGUUUUCGCAAACACAAGUGAUAUUCAAAUUAGGAAAAUAGGUGAUUUUCUUGUGGAUGUUAGCUUUAAAAGAAGAUGUAAAUGUUUUAGAAAGAUUUAAACUAAUUUAAGCUAACAUUAAAGACUAAAAUGAAAGGGUGUAAAAACAAGUUUCUCAAAUAUAGGAUAGCUAUGCUCUGGCUCUUAUGCAAAUUGGAAAUCUUAGGAUAGGCUCCUUGCGUUGGGGUUGCAACUAUGGUGAUGCUUGCUUCCCGAACCGGUAUGGAUUUAGCAAAUCAAGUUUUAAUCCUUUAAAAUGACAAAACAGAUGGUAGUGAAUUUCAUCAAUGGUUAUUCACCUUAGACUUCCUUUGAAUGGCUCGUAAGAGAUAACUAAUGGUCUAAAGCCAAAAGCUUACCAAAUAUUGGCAACUCAAAGUCAUUCCAAGUGAUAAACUCACCUUUCAAUGGCCAUUGAAAUUGGUUCUAACGGAUUAAUACAAAACUUGGAAUUGAAAACCUCACCUUCCAAUAGCUCGUAGGAGAUAACUAAUGGAUAGAAAUCCAAAAGCUUAUCAAGUAUUGGCCGUUGGAAGUUGUCCAAAGGAAAUAAAAACCAAACUUUGCAUUAAUGAACCUUUAAUGAAAAACGACUACCUUACCUUCCGGGUGCGAGAAAUUUCCAUGGGAUUGCAUCCAAGCCAUCACAUAACAUCCAUACUUUGAGAAACUAAAAGUUUUAGCCAAUCAUCCUCUAAGGAAAAGCCCUCAGAGGCUGUUUGGCUACUAAGAAAAUAGAAACGAGAGAGCUCUGUAAAUAUUCUAAGUGUCAAACGUAAUAUAUAUUCUAUAUUCUAUAUUCCAAGAGGUGAUUUCCACCCCUUAUAUAGUCUUUACAAAAGCAAAAGCUUGUGAUUGGUUAGUUACAAGGAUAAGAAAGGAAAUUACAUCACAAAAUACAAAGGAAAAUAUCUAAAGUGGAGUCGGCAAAAGCAGAGGAAAAUUCGCAACACGCAUGGGUUAUGCGAAUUUUGAAGGUGUUAUGCGGACGAAAUUUUCGCAUAACCUGGAGCAGUUGGCUUCCGAAGGCCAUAUCUUCCUCAUUUCAACUCCAAAUCAUGCACGGUUUGAAGCGUUGGAUUAUUGACUUCCAGAGCUUUGAAAUGGUAUAUAGUAUGUAAAAAAUGGACUUCUGGAAGUGCUCCAAAAGUGCGAAAGAAGACUGCAGCUGCUGUCCUCUGAUUUUUUCACUUUGCUUUCCUCUUCUCCAUUGUUCUUUCCUUGCAUACUUUGAACGACUUUGGCAAAGGGCUAUGGAGCUCCAAAGCUUUGUUCUUCAUGAAUUUGAGCUUCCAAAAGCUUUGCCAUAACUUGUCCAAGUAGCUCCUCCAUCAUUUGGCAUGCUUGAAUUGAUUCAUAAGCUGAUAAAAACAUGUAAACUUGCCACAAAACGGUUAAAACCAAUUACUAAGGACCUUAAUGAAUUAAUUGGGUUAAAUGAAUAUGAUUACUACUCAAAGGUGCUUAAAACCAUUAUAAUUAGGUCUACAAAAUAGCACU